ACAGCAGUCGCCGCGGGAAUACGGAGGGUGCAAGCGUUAAUCGGAAUUACUGGGCGUAAAGCGUGCGUAGGCGGUGAGUUAAGUCUGCUGUGAAAUCCCCGGGCUCAACCUGGGAAUGGCAGUGGAUACUGGCUCGCUAGAGUGUGUCAGAGGAUGGUGGAAUUCCCGGUGUAGCGGUGAAAUGCGUAGAGAUCGGGAGGAACAUCAGUGGCGAAGGCGGCCAUCCGGGACAACACUGACGCUGAGGCACGAAAGCGUGGGGAGCAAACAGGAUUAGAUACCCUGGUAGUCCCUGUCUCUUAUAC
rnacentral:rRNA from 1 species